rnacentral:rRNA from 1 species
GAUGAACGCUGGCGGCGUGCCUAAUACAUGCAAGUCGAGCGAACAGACGAGGAGCUUGCUCCUCUGACGUUAGCGGCGGACGGGUGAGUAACACGUGGAUAACCUACCUAUAAUACUGGGAUAACUUCGGGAAACCGGAGCUAAUACCGGAUAAUAUAUUGAACCGCAUGGUUCAAUAGUGAAAGACGGUUUUGCUGUCACUUAUAGAUGGAUCCGCGCCGCAUUAGCUAGUUGGUAAGGUAACGGCUUACCAAGGCAACGAUGCGUAGACGACCUGAGAGGGUGAUCGGCCACACUGGAACUGAGACACGGUCCAGACUCCUACGGGAGGCAGCAGUAGGGAAUCUUCCGCAAUGGGCGAAAGCCUGACGGAGCAACGCCGCGUGAGUGAUGAAGGCCUUCGGAUCGUAAAACUCUGUUAUUAGGGAAGAACAAAUGUGUAAGUAACUAUGCACGUCUUGACGGUACCUAAUCAGAAAGCCACGGCUAACUACGUG